rnacentral:misc_RNA from 1 species
AAAAGAUCCUGAACUUUACCAUAGCCUAUACUUUGGGAAUGCCAAAUUUAGCCUAUACUUUUAACUAUUGUGUUUAAUCAUGGCCAGGCACUACAUCUAAAAUUAACUUGUAGAAGGAAAAAUUAAGCAAAAUAUGAUUAAAAAUUUAGUGACUGCUGACUAUGGAUAGAGUCUUUUUAUUGGCAUGUAUAUUCUUCUACCAUGGCUAUAUUAGAAGCAAUUUACUUAUAAAUUAAUGAAUAAUAGUUUUCAAUUGCUUGGCUGUGAUUUUACCUCAUAAAAUAUGCACUAUGAUUGCAAAUUGGGUAAAAGUUAA